UGCCCUAAUCCACAGCACCUCUCGCCCGCAUCGCGAAUACUCUGUUCCGGCUCCGCCCCCGCGGCCUCUCGAACACUCCCAAACCCUAGCCAGGCGUGAACCCCAUGUCGGGGUACGGAUCCGACGACUACCGCGGCGGCGGCGGCGGUGGCUACGGCGGCCGAGAUGGCGGCGGUCGCGGGCGCGGAGGCGGUGGAGGAUACGGUGGUAGCGGCGGUGGGGGUUAUGGAGGUGGUGGCGGUGGCGGAGGGUAUGGCGGCGGUGGUGGGAGAGGAGGUGGUGGAGGAGGAGGCUACGGCGGCGGCGGUGGCGGAGGCGGCGGGAGAGGUGGCGGGCGCGGGGGAGGACGCGAAGGCGACUGGGUCUGCCCUGACGCGAGCUGCGGUAAUGUGAACUUUGCGAGGAGAACUGAGUGCAAUAAAUGUGGUUCAGCUAACCCAAGUGGAGGUGGAGGUGGAGGUGGUGGCGGUGGGUAUGAUAGGUCUGGUGGAGGCUACAACCGUGGUGGUGGUGAUCAUGGUUCAGGUGGUGGUGGUGGCUACAGCAGAGGUGACGGAGGACGAGGAGGAUAUAAUCGUGAUGGUGGUAGUGGUCGUGGUUUUGAUGACCACCGUGGUGGUAGUGGUGGUUAUGGAGGAAGAGACCAAGAGAACAACCAAAGGGUGGAAAAAAAUACCUAUAAUGAUGGUGGCUAUGGACAAGCUCCCCCUAAAGGUCCUCCAUCCUAUGGCGGGCCUGCAGGUGACUACGCAGCGCCCCCAAGUUCUUAUGGAGGAAGCAAUGUAUACAGUUCAGAUAAUGCAGUGCCACCCCCUAACAGCUAUGGUGGUGGUCGAGGCUCUUACCCACCAAGCUAUGGUGCCCCACCUCAAAACCCAUAUAGUGGUGGUGCCCCAGGGGGGCAAGGAGGCCUGCCACCUACAUAUGAUGGUGGUUAUGGUGGUCGUUCUGCGCCUGGGAGUGGAGGCGCAGGUGGCGCACCCCCAUCCUAUCAUGGGGGUGGUGGCGGCGGUGGUUAUACAGGAAAUGCUACCCCUGAACCAGCUACAAAGGUUAAGCAGUGUGAUGCAAACUGUGAUGAUUCCUGUGACAAUCCAAGGAUUUACAUCUCAAACCUUCCUCCUGAUGUGACUGUUGAGGAACUGCAAGAGCUUUUUGGAGGAAUUGGCCAGGUUGGAAGGAUCAAGCAGAAGCGUGGUUACAAAGACCAGUGGCCCUGGAACAUUAAAAUCUAUGCUGAUGAUUCUGGAAAAAACAAAGGAGAUGCUUGUCUCGCUUAUGAAGAUCCAUCUGCUGCUCAUGCAGCUGGUGGAUUCUACAACAAUUAUGACAUGAGAGGCCAUAAAAUUAGUGUUGUGAUGGCGGAGAAAUCGGCACCCAGGGCUCCCACAUCUGGUCACGGAGGUGGACGCGGUGGUGGUGGUGGCUAUGGAGGGGACCGGCGCAGAGACGGAGGAGGUCAUGGGCCUAACAGGAACCAGGGUGGUGGUUCACGUUCCAGGCCAUACUGAAAACACAUAUAAUUACCUAAGAUUGUCAUCUGUGAGAAACCUUUUCUAUUCAUGUUCUCCGGACUUGUACCCAUACAGGAGCUUAAGAGGCAGCUGGAUAAGCUCCAAAUGCUGAUAGGUUUUGAGAUGUUAUUACAGCCGGUGGAUCACUGCUGUAAGCUUUGGAUUUCGCUGGGAGGACAUGAUGCCAUUUUUGUUCAAUGAUAGAUUCACCAGCUUUGGAUUCAUCACUUGGGAUUUUUAUCUGUUUGUGAAAUCUAUAGUUGCAUAUGCUUGAUUGGCAUCAUUUGCCUAUGCUAAAUUCGGAUGAGCACCCAGCAGACAGCGCUGGCAUCAACUAGAAAUUUCCUUGUCCUACUCUUUGAGUUUCCAGCGACUAACCGGAGCCACAGAGCCGGCUUCAGCAAAAUUGAAGUCAGAGCCACCUUCAAUUCAAUUGGCGCCUAGUUUAUUUAGUUCAUUUCCUUCUUUCUAUUCUUUUCUUGACAUACAGUAUUCAUCUACUGGUAUAUAACAUUCUUGAAUAUUUAUUCACAGUUCCAAGCAA